ensembl:lncRNA
GAGACAAUCAGUCCAGUCUCCACCAACAGUCAGCCUGGCAGUGGCCCUCUGGGUAGAGAGUGUAAUAAGAUGCAAUCAGUCACAGCCUUCUCCCCGGGGGCCCUCCAGCCCGGCGGGUGAGCUGGGGUUCUGGGGACAGGCUGGGGCAGUGUCCCUUAGCGCUCCAGAGCCCUUGAAGGAGCAGCGGACCUCUCCCCCAUCCCCACUUCUGCGUCCUCAUGACAGUGGCGGCCUCCAUGGGUUGUGGUCCUCGGCAGCUGGAACAUAAGGACACUGCCAUUAAGAACCACUUGCUUUGGGGGAAACCAACUGCCACGUCCUAUGUACUGUCAGCAGUCUGGAGAGGCUCACUUGGCAAAGAGCUAAGGCCUCCUGCCAAGGGCCAGGGAGGAUCUGAGGCCAGUCAGCCACCAUGGAAUAAACUUGAAGGAGGACCCUCCAGCCUUCAGAUAACUGCACCCUCUCCAGGACUUGAUUGCCACCUCAUGGGAUGUCUCAACACUAGAAUCACCCAGCUAAGUCACUUGCAAAUUCCUGACCCACAGAAAAAUGAGAGGGAAUAAAGUGUGCUGUUUUAAGCCACUUAGAAGUCUUAGUAAUUGUUUAUGCAGUCACAGAUAAUGCAAAUGGCCACUUUUUCCAAAACCCCUGUGACAUAG